rnacentral:rRNA from 1 species
UACGGGGGGGGCAAGCGUUGUUCGGAAUUACUGGGCGUAAAGGGCGCGUAGGCGGUUCGCUAAGUUGGAUGUGAAAACUCUGGGCUCAACCCAGAGCCUGCAUUCAAAACUGACGAGCUAGAGUUCUGGAGGGGGUAGCGGAAUUCCUGGUGUAGCGGUGAAAUGCGUAGAUAUCAGGAGGAACACCGGUGGCGAAGGCGGCUACCUGGACAGAAACUGACGCUGAGGCGCGAAAGCUAGGGGAGCAAACAGG